rnacentral:sRNA from 1 species
GCCGGGUAUGGUGGCACAUGCCUGUAAUCCUAGCAGCUCAGGAGGCUGAGGUGGGAGGAUCAUGAGUUCAAAACCAGCCUUGGCAAUUUAGCAAGGCCCUUAGCAACUCAGCCAGAUCCUGUCUCUA